GAUGAACGCUGGCGGCAGGCCUAACACAUGCAAGUCGAGCGGUUGGCGGGAGCUUGCUCCCUGAUUCAGCGGCGGACGGGUGAGUAAUGCCUAGGAAUCUGCCUAUUAGUGGGGGACAACGUUUCGAAAGGAACGCUAAUACCACAUACGUCCUACGGGAGAAAGCAGGGGACCUUCGGGCCUUGCGCUAAUAGAUGAGCCUAGGUCGGAUUAGCUUGUUGGUGAGGUAAUGGCUCACCAAGGCGACGAUCCGUAACUGGUCUGAGAGGAUGAACAGUCAUACUGGAACUGAGACAGGGUCCAGACUCCUACGGGAGGCAGCAGUGGGGAGUAUUGGACAAUGGGCGAAAGCCUGAUCCAGCCAUGCCGCGUGUGUGAAGAAGGUCUUCGGAUUGUAAAGCACUUUAAGUUGGGAGGAAGGGUUGUAGAUUAAUACUCUGCAAUUUUGACGUUACCGACAGAAUAAGCACCGGCUAACUCUGUGCCAGCCGCCGCAGUAA
rnacentral:rRNA from 1 species